rnacentral:rRNA from 1 species
UACGUAGGGGGCAAGCGUUGUCCGGAAUCAUUGGGCGUAAAGCGCGUGUAGGCGGACUGGAAGGUCUGGUGUGAAAGCCCGGGGCUCAACCCCGGAGGGUCACUGGAAACCGACAGUCUUGAGUCCGGAAGAGGAGAGUGGAAUUCCUGGUGUAGCGGUGGAAUGCGCAGAUAUCAGGAGGAACAUCUAUGGCGAAGGCAGCUCUCUGGUACGUGACUGACGCUGAGACGCGAAAGCGUGGGGAGCGAACAGG